rnacentral:pre_miRNA from 1 species
CAACUACUCCCUCUGUCCCAAAUUUCUUGUCUUAGAUUUGCCUAGAUACGGAUGUAUCUAAUACUAAAAUGUGACUUGAUACAUCUGUAUCUAGACAAAUCUAAGACAAGAAUUUUGGGACGGAGGGAGUACUUU